rnacentral:lncRNA from 1 species
GCCCUUCUUGUUUACCUAAAAAUCUCUUCUCUCCUAAGAUCUUGUAGGAAUCUUUCUUUUUUCCUUAAGAAGCAUGCUACCAAUGGACGCCAGAUGUUCCAGCACCGAAAAGUUGGUGACCAUGCUUGGGUGUUUCAGAAUUCAUAUGAAAAGCAUUUAUUUUUUACUUUCAGGGAUUGCUCCAUCUUGCAGUUUCUAAUAUGGCUGGACAAUUACGAUUUCACAUAUAUCUGAAAAACCACAGCCCAUCUGUGUUCUAUAAACGUUGGUGUGGUCUUAUGUGCACCAAGAAUUCUGUCAUUAACAUAAGGUAUUUUACACCCGCACUGCAAACUGUUGAUAAAUCUGAUGUGUUGCUUGCACUGAGAAUUCUUACAUUUGCGUAAGGUAUUUUACACUGGCGUUGUGAACUCAUUGACAAUUAGCAUUCAUCAGCUAAGCACACCUCGAUGUACGCAGCCUGUAUAU